CUGUCUGUUGGCCAACAAUCUAGACUAUCUGAUUCAGUUCAAAAUUUACAUCUAUGAACAUUACCCCCCUUAGUCUUAUGUUCAAGCAGAGAAACUGUAGUUCAGUCAUCCACCAAGUGGCCAUCCUAGAUCCCGAGGCAGGGAUUGAUGGAUCAAUGUGGCUGUUCCUACUCCCGUCAGUCAGGAGCAUGGCACAUACAAGAACACCAGCAUAUACAGGUUACACAAAAUACUAUGGAAUAGAGAUUAAACGUGCAAACUCAUUGGGAGUUCCUGCUGUGGUGCAGUGGGCUAAGAACCUGACUGCAGUGGCUCAGGCUGCUGCAGAGGCACAGUUCAAUCCCCAGCCCAGCCCAGUGAGUGAAAGGAUUAAGGUAGGUUGCAGCCGCAGCUGGGAUUCAAUCCCUGGCCAGGGAACUUCUAUAUGUCACAAGUGCAGCUAUAACAUUAAAAAAAAAAUGUGGACACUCAUUUGCAGUUACAGAAAUUAAGAACACAUAUUCUACAGUUAGAAGCUUUGUGCUUAAGUUCUGAGUCUGCUGGUGACAGUGUGGUGGUGUCUCUGCCUCUCUUAAUCCCAUGCACGGUCUCUAUUUCCAACUAUGGUUGCUCACUACUGGAUUCCUCACUUGACACUCCCUGGGUAACAGUCCUUGACAGAGGACCCUGGACUUGGCAAAGGGCUUUUCAUUCUUCUGCUUAGAAAUUUACAAUGACUUUCUAUUGUCUUUUGUUUCCAGACCAGAUCCUUCCAGAUAAGUUGGAGGUUUUCUGCUUUUUGUUUUUUGUUAUUUAAUUAUUAUUGCUAAUUUUUAAAAAGCCUUAAGUAGCUGUCAAAAGUGUCAGUCAGGAAGGUGAGAGCUGAAAUGAAGCCAGUCACAAUGCUGACGUGGCUGACAAUUUGUUGGAAGUGGCAACAGCAAUGAACCAAGGAUGACAGAAAGAUAAUAACGACAUUUUGUUGACUAAUAGACUUUAACGGCCACGGAAGGUAGCCCUAAGAGGAAAAUCAGAAACUCCAUUCCAAUAUACUAUUAUUUAUAUGGGGUUGAUUACAAUAUUUUAAAUGUUUACCCACACACAGUAUAAAAGACCUGGCUCACAAUACCAUUUUAAAUAGAAGAUAACUUUUAAGAGAAGAUCUUAAUACAUUCUAGUCCUGUCCUUUACUAGACUAGAAUCUCCUAAGAGACUUAUUUAAGAACGAAUGAGGGUAAGAGGCUACACAGAGUAUUUAGAAAGAGUGUAAAACAGUGAGAGACAUGGCUCAAAUAAGCCAGCAAGCAACAAUAAGAAAAGGAAAGAGCGAAUUUUUAAACGGAUUUAAAUACCUUAAUUACAUAAUCAGUUGUUACUCUCUUAUCUUUUGCACUGGAAAAUUAAUUUUGCCUGAAAAUACAAAUGUGAAAAUAUCAGACUUUUCUUAUAAAGAAAGUAUGUAAAUUCAAAGUCUGAUGAUUAAUUUUAUGGUCAACUUGAUUGACUUAAAGGACGCCCAGAGCGCGGGUAAACUUCAUUUCUGGGUGUGUCUGUGACGGUGCUUUCGGAAGAGAUUGUAGGAUGGGUGGAGAAGGGAUUGCCCUCGCCAAUGCAGGGGGGCUCGUCCAACUCACUGAGGGCCCAAACAGAAGGAAGAGGCAGAGGAAGGGCAAGGGGGGCCCUCUGUCGGAUCUGGGACACCCAUCUUCUCCUGUCCUUGGGCAUCAGUGGUCCUGCUUCUCAGGCUCUCAGACUUCAACUAAAUUUCGCCACUGGCUUUUCUGGUUUUCCAGUUUGCAGAUAGCAGAUCAUGGAAAUUCUUGGGCCUCCUUAGUCUAUAACAAAUCUGCCUCUGUCUCCCUCUGUCCCUCCUUUUCUCUGUCUCCCUCUCUCUCUCGCCUUUCUCCGUCUCUUGUCUCUGUCUCUCUCUCUGUCUCUGUCUGUCUGUGUGUCUGUCUCUCUCUCACACACACAGAACCAAGAGAGGCUAUAGAGCCUCUCUUGGUUUUGUUUCUUAGGAGAAUACUGAUUAACACCCAAGGGCUUCCUGAUGAUAAAUUACAACUGUGUAACUAUGAAUUAAUUUGAGGAUAAAAACAUAAACUCUAGGAGUACUUGAUGCAUGGAACUCAAGAAUGAGCUAUACAUGUUAAAAGUUUCAUGUGCCUCAUUUUCUGUCAUUAGAAAUCUUUAUGUAAAUCUGGAAAUAAAAUUCUAGGCCUUCUUUAAAACACGUAUGCAUUUUUCAUUUAUGUUAAACUGACAAAAAUUAUAUUCUAUUUGACACACAUUUUAGACUGCAGAGAGAAAAUUUCCUUAAAACAUGAGGUGAUGAAGCAUAAAAUCAUGCAUUUUGUUUCCUAAAUUCACAGUCACAUUAGAUAUCUAUUAUUGCUAACCUCAGUAUUGAUGCUGUUAUUAUUUUUUCUUCACCAAGUGGGAAUAGUAGUUUCAGAAAUUUGAUAUUUUCAAUAGACACUUGUAUUCCCCCAGGCUUUAUUUAUUGAAAUAUUAUUGCAAAUAUUUCUAUCAUGAUCAUCUAAGUGAUACAUUAUACCCAUCUUUCCUCUGAGGAGAUUUCAUUGUUUCUGUUUUUAAUAUUAGAUACGUGCAUUCUUAGCUUGAGAUCUUACCAUUAUAAACUUUUGAAAUCUGCUUUAUCAACUUUUGUUGCAUAUGUUUGAUAACAGGAUAUAAGAGAAAGCCAAUAUAUUUUUUUGUUGGAUGAGGGCGACCACAAAACCAGUCGAUAUGCUAUGAAAACUUUGAUAAUCUUAUCUUUAUGUUAAACAUCUUAAGAGCUUCUAAAAGAAACAUUCAUUAUGUCGAAGUUUUGAUUUUGAUAUAAUACUGUCCAAUAUUUUAUUUUUUGUUGCAUUUGGCUCAGUGACAAAAGUAUGCAAUAUAAAAUAGCAGAAUAGACAAAAAGCAAACGUCCUAUAAGAAUGAAAUGAUACACAGACAAUGAUGAUAAAAUUACAAUUUAUAUCUCUAUGGCAAUAACAAUUGGAACUAAGGUUUUGCAAUUUUUCAUGACAUUAAAAGCCAUUUAUUUUGUUGGAAUACUGUUCCCUAAAAAUAACACUAUGUUUUUAUAUUUGUACUUGGUUUUUGAAUACAGUUUUUUAAAUGAUGGAGUAAAUAUUUAUAUUUGGCAAAAUAUAAUUAAAGGAAAAUAUAUAAACAAAAUACUUAAAUACCCCCCCUUUAAGCCAAACAUUCAGCUAACAGUUUUACAAUGCUGUAUAUCUAUUGUAUUUGAUGGACAAAAUAUACCAUUGUACUCGGGCCAUUUCUAUAUUAAAUAGUAUGCUUUCAUAUGACGGCAGUAGGAAUCCUAGAUAUUAGUGGUUUUAAGUAAAAAUAAAUGUAUUACCUCAC
rnacentral:lncRNA from 1 species